CCCAGAGGUGGCUGCGGGGGGAGCGCGGCCCCGGGGCGGAGGGCUGUUCGAGACAGGGGAUCCAUCAUCCUGGGCCUAAUCAGUUAAUACUGAUAAACUGCCAGCAAUAACUGCCAAUUGCGCCGCCGUUUUGGAGCUGCCAGUUCAUUCAUUUAGGGAGUGCGGCGCACGUCGGGGAAGUGCUCCGGGGCGGGUCUGUCUCUUCGCUCCAGGAGGGAGAGGACGCAGCUGGUGAGGGCGGAGGGCUCACUCAGACUUAGGCCAGCCAGAGAAAGCGAUCCCUGGUCAGCUUGAGGGUGGCCGAGGGGGCUGCGGGAUGAAUUCGGCCUGUGCCCGGCUGGGCUGGGAGAGGGAGUAGGGGAGAGGCCCUCCGGGUUCUUGGGCUUAGGCUGGCUGGGAGGUGACAUGCAUUUUGAGGACGAGUCAGUCAGCCCUGCUGUGCACCUCCUUGCUCAGGGCCACCGAAGGAAUCCUCAGGAAUCAGAGGAGUUUCACGCUGUAAUACUGUUUUGUCGCCUACUUGGUAACAGUGUAUCAGGAGCAUUUCCCCACACAACAAAAGCCGUUUGAUGAGUGUGGCCAGGUGUUUGGUGUGGGAAAUGCCGGAUGGCUGGCUCUCGGAGGAGAUCUCAAGCGCUGACAGAUCUGACUCUCUCAGUGGAUGUGGAGCACGAAUUCCUGGAGAAAUGGAUCCGCAACUCUCCUCAGGAACACAGAUCCGUGUCUUACAACUCUUCUGCCGGGGAAAGUCUUUCUCUGACCUCUCACCUCCAUCCCUCCUGCUGCCAUGUAAACUUCUUCUCUGCUGAAAUAGAGAACAUUCUCUUGCCACCUUAUCCCUUGUAGGCUCUUUUAAAAAUUGGACUUUAACAGAAUAAAGAUCCCUCACAUUA